UUGAACUCAUGGCCUCCCACGUGCCAGGUGAGCGUGUGUGAGCUACACCCCUUGGGUAGCCAGUCUUCUGAUGCGUUGCUCUCGGCUUCCAAGAACACAAAAGCACAAGCUGCUCGUUCACCUUAAGCCCGGAACUGGUGCAGCGUCACUUCCGCCAAGUGCUGUGUGUGGAGCCGAGUGGCAAGGUCCGCCUAAAUUUGAGGGAAGGGACUCCACAAGCGACGGAUCUAGGCCGUGUUCACUGGCCCAUCAGACAAACGGACUGUAACCAUGUACGUGGAGAACACCGGAAGCAAAGCAAAAGAAACUUACCCAUGGAGCUGCGGCUCAUCCCUGCCACCGACACACGUUCUGCAGAAUCCCACCCCGUCCUGCCUUCUCCACCUGAUCCUACUGCCUGCGCAACCUAGACCUGCCACAGAAGUGCACCAGAAGAGCUCUAGGGACAGACACCAUGGAUACCAAGAGGCACACUUUUUCCAAGGCUCUCUCUCCAUCCAGAUGUUCAGCGCCUUAUGGAUUUACAAUCUGGAGUGCCUUGAUCACCCAGGGCCCUGCGGCUCGCAUUACAGGGUCCCCGUCCGUGUGUUUGGGUUAUGGAAAAGAUACGGAGAUAAUGACCCACUUACGGUGGCUACCUGCAACAACACUUACCUACAAAAUGGACAGGGCCUGGUGCAGCAACUCGAUCUGAAAAUACCAACCCAAACUCAGCUGUGUAUCCUCCUGUGGUAAAGUUGUGGGGAGCCUCCGAUUGGAGCCCCCAGGUCUGUUCUGCAGCUUUGGGAAUGUCUAAUGUGGCACAGCGCGGUGAGCAGCUGGCGCCUGGGCUGUAUUCCCAGCCCUGGUCCCUGCAGGCCCUGCCGCCUUCCUGACCCUUUGACCUCUGUACUUGUCUUUGAGUGGGGUGGCCCCACACUUCACCUUCCAGAGAGGUCUAAUGCAACAGUGGUCCACUUCACCUUUUGCAUAUAGCCCUUGCUGCUCAUUUGAAAAGGGGUAUGUUUUUCUUCUCCUCUUCUCCCUCUCCCCCUCCCUAACCUGGGGACAGGGAACAAGAUUACUGCCUUGAGUUAUCCGUUCUCCACAGGAAGAAGAUGUCAGGGAAGAACUAAGAACUGACUACCAAAUUAGCAAGUGAAUUUCAACACACCAGCAGGGAGCACCAGGGACCGUCAGGUGCCAGAUGCGCUGGAAUGUAGCCUCUGAAGAGCUUCUUUAAAAACCCUGUUUUCCCUGAGGGGCAGAA